rnacentral:rRNA from 1 species
UGAGCAAUCUGCCCUUCUCAUCGGAAUAAGCGUUGGAAACGACGUCUAAUGCCGAAUACGACCUCCUUUCGCACGAUCGGAGGUGGAAAGCUCCGGCGGAGAAGGAUGAGCUCGCGGCCUAUCAGCUAGUUGGUGUGGGUAACGGCCCACCAAGGCGACGACGGGUAGCCGGCCUGAGAGGGUGACCGGCCACACUGGGACUGAGACACGGCCCAGACUCCUACGGGGAGGCAGCAGG